rnacentral:miRNA from 1 species
UGAAUGGCACCCUUCUGAGCAGA